rnacentral:rRNA from 1 species
GCACAAGCGGUGGAGCAUGUGGAUUAAUUCGUCACUAACCGAAGAACCUUAUCAGGGUUUGACAUCCGCGGCAAGUCCGUGAAAGCGGCACCCUCCGGGGCAACCCGGACCGCGAGACAGGUGUUGCAUGGCUGUCGUCAGCUCGUGUCGUGAGAUGUUGGGUUAAGUCCCGCAACGAGCGCAACCCUCACGCGAUGUUGCCAGCGUCAAGUCGGGCACUCUUCGCGAACUGCCCGGGUAACCGGGAGGAAGGUGGGGAUGACGUCAAGUCGGCAUGGCCCUUACAUCCUGGGCUUCACCCAUGCUACAAUGGGCGCGACAGAGGGACGCAAGACCGCGAGGUGGAGCCAAUCCCAAAAAGGCGCUCUCAGUUCGGAUUGCAGGCUGCAACUCGCCUGCGUGAAGCCGGAAUCGCUAGUAACCGCCGGUCAGCUAAACGGCGGUGAAUACGUUCCCGGGC